rnacentral:misc_RNA from 1 species
GGAAGGAUCAUUACCGAGUGUGUCCGUUAAUUCGGACUCCUCCCACCCUUGUGUAUUUCUAUGCUGAUAAGCAGCUUCGGCGGGCCGUUUCUUUUUUUUUUUUGAAUGAAUCUCUUCGGAGUGUAGUCCAAAAGGAAACAUCGGCCCUCAAAAAGCGGAUUUGCGCCCGCCGAAGGACCCAACUCUUGAUAACUUGAAGUCUGAUAAAAAACUUGAUAAUAAAUCAAAACUUUCAACAACGGAUCUCUUGGUUCUGGCAUCGAUGAAGAACGCAGCGAAAUGCGAUAAGUAAUGUGAAUUGCAGAAUUCAGCGAAUCAUCGAAUCUUUGAACGCACAUUGCGCCUCCGGGUAUUCCUGGAGGCAUGCUUGUUCGAGCGUCGUUAAAGACCAUAAGGCUUUGCCUUGCGAUGAGCUGUCGAAAAGACUCCCUUUGGGGGAUCUAUCGACAGCUUCAAACUGAUUGGCGUCUGAAGUUUAGCCCAAGCACAGCAAAAUGUGUCUGAAAGUUGAACGACAAAAGACUUUGCCUUGUACACCAAAUCAUUUAAAGGUCGACCUCGGAUCAAGCAAGAUUACCCGCUGAACUUAAGCAUAUCAAUAAGCGGAGGAAAAGAAACCAACAGGGAUUGCCUCAGUAACGGCGAGUGAAGCGGCAAGAGCUCAAAUUUUAAAUCUACCUUUUCGGUCGAGUUGUAAUUUGUAGAGGAACGUUCGGUGAUGUCUAGGUCUGAGUCUUCUGGAAGGAAGCGCCGAUGAGGGUGAGAGCCCCGUACGACCAAUGGCUUAGCCGUGUGAACGUCCUUCGAAGAGUCGAGUUGUUUGGGAAUGCAGCUCAAAGCGGGUGGUAAAUUCCAUCUAAAGCUAAAUAUUGGCCAGAGACCGAUAGCGCACAAGUAGAGUGAUCGAAAGAUGAAAAGCACUUUGGAAAGAGAGUGAAAAAGUACGUGAAAUUGUUGAAAGGGAAGCGCUCGCGACCAGACUUGAUCGUUCAGUUCAAGGGUUCUUUUGGACCCGGCACUUCUGUCUGUAUCAGGCCAACAUCAGUUCGGACGGUCGGAUAAAAGCUUUGGGAACGUGGCUCCUCGGAGUGUUAUAGCCCUUUGCACAAUACGGCCCGACCGGACUGAGGCAUGCCUUUUUGUAGGAUGUUGGCGUAAUGGUUGCCAGCGGCCCGUCUUGAAACACGGACCAAGGAGUCUAACAUCUAUGCGAGUGUUUGGGUGAAAAACCCGCACGCGAAAUGAAAGUGAACGGAGGUGUGAGCUUCGGCGCAACAUCGACCGAUCCUGAUGUCCUCGGAAGGAUUUGAGUACGAGCAUAGCUGUUGGGACCCGAAAGAUGAUGAACUAUGCGUGAAUAGGGCGAAGCCAGAGGAAACUCUGGUGGAGGCUCGCAGCGGUUCUGACGUGCAAAUCGAUCGUCAAAUUUGCGUAUAGGGGCGAAAGACUUAUCGAAUCAUCUAGUAGCUGGUUCCUGC